rnacentral:rRNA from 1 species
AACGUAGGAGCCAAGCGUUAUCCGAAUUCACUGGGCGUAAAGCGCAUGUAGGCGGCGUGACAAGUUGGAUGUAAAAACUCCCGGCUCAACUGGGAGAGGCCGUUCAAUACUGUCAGGCUAGAGGGCGACAGAGGGAGGUGGAAUUCCGGGUGUAGUGGUGAAAUGCGUAGAUAUCCGGAGGAACACCAGAGGCGAAGGCGACCUCCUGGGUCGAACCUGACGCUCAGAUGCGAAAGCUAGGGGAGCGAACGGG